rnacentral:rRNA from 1 species
GAGGAAAGUGAGAGGCAGGCCUAACACAUGCAAGUCGAGGGAGGAGCUUUCGGGCUUCGACCGGCGUACGGGUGCGUAACGCGUAUACAAUCUGCCUUUCACAUAGGGAUAGCCCGAAGAAAUUUGGAUUAAUACCUAAUGGUAUAUAGGAGUGGCAUCACAUUUAUAUUAAAGCUGAGGCGGUGAAAGAUGAGUAUGCGUUCUAUUAGCUAGUUGGAGAGGUAACGGCUCCCCAAGGCGACGAUAGAUAGGGGUUCUGAGAGGGAUAUCCCCCACACUGGUACGGAGAUACGGACCAGACGCCUACGGGAGGCAGCAGUGAGGAAUAUUGGACAAUGGUCGGAAGACUGAUCCAGCCAUGCCGCGUGCAGGAAGACGGCCUUAUGGGUUGUAAACUGCUUUUGCAGGGGAAGAAUAAGGACUACGAGUAGUUUGAUGACGGUACUCUGCGAAUAAGCAUCGGCUAACUCCGUG